GGUUAAGCGACUAAGCGUACACGGUGGAUGCCCUGGCAGUCAGAGGCGAUGAAGGGCGUGCUAAUCUGCGAUAAGCGCCGGUAAGGUGAUAUGAACCGUUAUAACCGGCGAUACCCGAAUGGGGAAACCCAGUGUGAUUCGUCACACUAUCAUUAACUGAAUCCAUAGGUUAAUGAGGCGAACCGGGGGAACUGAAACAUCUAAGUACCCCGAGGAAAAGAAAUCAACCGAGAUUCCCCCAGUAGCGGCGAGCGAACGGGGAGGAGCCCAGAGCCUGAAUCAGCAUGUGUGUUAGUGGAAGCGUCUGGAAAGGCGCGCGAUACAGGGUGACAGCCCCGUACACAAAAGCGCAUGUGCUGUGAGCUCGAUGAGUAGGGCGGGACACGUGGUAUCCUGUCUGAAUAUGGGGGGACCAUCCUCCAAGGCUAAAUACUCCUGACUGACCGAUAGUGAACCAGUACCGUGAGGGAAAGGCGAAAAGAACCCCGGCGAGGGGAGUGAAAAAGAACCUGAAACCGUGUACGUACAAGCAGUGGGAGCCCCACCACCAAAGCAUUCUCUGGUGUUGAAGGCCCUGCAAAGCAGCAUCGCGGUGGCGGAGCGUCGUUUGCGACGCCCAACACACAAAACAAGCGGUGAGUGCUUUGGGGUGGGGUGACUGCGUACCUUUUGUAUAAUGGGUCAGCGACUUAUAUUCUGUAGCAAGGUUAACCGAAUAGGGGAGCCGGAGGGAAACCGAGUCUUAAUUGGGCGUUAAGUUGCAGGGUAUAGACCCGAAACCCGGUGAUCUAGCCAUGGGCAGGUUGAAGGUUGGGUAACACUAACUGGAGGACCGAACCGACUAAUGUUGAAAAAUUAGCGGAUGACCUGUGGCUGGGGGUGAAAGGCCAAUCAAACCGGGAGAUAGCUGGUUCUCCCCGAAAGCUAUUUAGGUAGCGCCUCGUGAAUUCAUCUCCGGGGGUAGAGCACUGUUUCGGCUAGGGGGCCAUCCCGGCUUACCAACCCGAUGCAAACUGCGAAUACCGGAGAAUGUUAUCACGGGAGACACACGGCGGGUGCUAACGUCCGUCGUGAAGAGGGAAACAACCCAGACCGCCAGCUAAGGUCCCAAAGUCAUGGUUAAGUGGGAAACGAUGUGGGAAGGCCCAGACAGCCAGGAUGUUGGCUUAGAAGCAGCCAUCAUUUAAAAGAAAGCGUAAUAGCUCACUGGUCGAGUCGGCCUGCGCGGAAGAUGUAACGGGGCUAAACCAUGCACCGAAGCUGCGGCAGCGACACUCAGGUGUUGUUGGGUAGGGGAGCGUUCUGUAAGCCUGCGAAGGUGGCCUGUGAGGGUUGCUGGAGGUAUCAGAAGUGCGAAUGCUGACAUAAGUAACGAUAAAGCGGGUGAAAAGCCCGCUCGCCGGAAGACCAAGGGUUCCUGUCCAACGUUAAUCGGGGCAGGGUGAGUCGACCCCUAAGGCGAGGCCGAAAGGCGUAGUCGAUGGGAAACGGGUUAAUAUUCCCGUACUUGGUGUUACUGCGAAGGGGGGACGGAGAAGGCUAUGUUGGCCGGGCGACGGUUGUCCCGGUUUAAGCGUGUAGGUGUGUGUUCCAGGUAAAUCCGGUUCACUUUAACACUGAGGCGUGAUGACGAGGCACUACGGUGCUGAAGCAACAAAUGCCCUGCUUCCAGGAAAAGCCUCUAAGCAUCAGGUAACAUCAAAUCGUACCCCAAACCGACACAGGUGGUCAGGUAGAGAAUACCAAGGCGCUUGAGAGAACUCGGGUGAAGGAACUAGGCAAAAUGGUGCCGUAACUUCGGGAGAAGGCACGCUGACACGUAGGUGAAGUGAUUUACUCAUGGAGCUGAAGUCAGUCGAAGAUACCAGCUGGCUGCAACUGUUUAUUAAAAACACAGCACUGUGCAAACACGAAAGUGGACGUAUACGGUGUGACGCCUGCCCGGUGCCGGAAGGUUAAUUGAUGGGGUCAGCGCAAGCGAAGCUCCCUGAUCGAAGCCCCGGUAAACGGCGGCCGUAACUAUAACGGUCCUAAGGUAGCGAAAUUCCUUGUCGGGUAAGUUCCGACCUGCACGAAUGGCGUAAUGAUGGCCAGGCUGUCUCCACCCGAGACUCAGUGAAAUUGAACUCGCUGUGAAGAUGCAGUGUACCCGCGGCAAGACGGAAAGACCCCGUGAACCUUUACUAUAGCUUGACACUGAACAUUGAGCCUUGAUGUGUAGGAUAGGUGGGAGGCUUUGAAGUGUGGACGCCAGUCUGCAUGGAGCCGACCUUGAAAUACCACCCUUUAAUGUUUGAUGUUCUAACGUGGACCCGUAAUCCGGGUUGCGGACAGUGUCUGGUGGGUAGUUUGACUGGGGCGGUCUCCUCCUAAAGAGUAACGGAGGAGCACGAAGGUUGGCUAAUCCUGGUCGGACAUCAGGAGGUUAGUGCAAUGGCAUAAGCCAGCUUGACUGCGAGCGUGACGGCGCGAGCAGGUGCGAAAAGCAGGUCAUAGUGAUCCGGUGGUUCUGAAUGGAAGGGCCAUCGCUCAACGGAUAAAAAGGUACUCCGGGGAUAACAGGCUGAUACCGCCCAAGAGUUCAUAUCGACGGCGGUGUUUGGCACCUCGAUGUCGGCUCAUCACAUCCUGGGGCUGAAGUAGGUCCCAAGGGUAUGGCUGUUCGCCAUUUAAAGUGGUACGCGAGCUGGGUUUAGAACGUCGUGAGACAGUUCGGUCCCUAUCUGCCGUGGGCGCUGGAGAACUGAGGGGGGCUGCUCCUAGUACGAGAGGACCGGAGUGGACGCAUCACUGGUGUUCGGGUUGUCAUGCCAAUGGCACUGCCCGGUAGCUAAAUGCGGAAGAGAUAAGUGCUGAAAGCAUCUAAGCACGAAACUUGCCCCGAGAUGAGUUCUCCCUGAGACUUUAAGUCUCCUGAAGGAACGUUGAAGACGACGACGUUGAUAGGCCGGGUGUGUAAGCGCAGCGAUGCGUUGAGCUAACCGGUACUAAUGAACCGUGAGGCUUAACCUU
rnacentral:rRNA from 1 species